rnacentral:rRNA from 1 species
CCAGACUCCUACGGGAGGCAGCAGUGGGGAAUAUUGGGCAAUGGAGGAAACUCUGACCCAGCAACGCCGCGUGAAUGAUGAAGGUCUUCGGAUUGUAAAGUUCUUUUCUAAGGGAAGAAGAAAGUGACGGUACCUUAGGAAUAAGCCUCGGCUAACUACGUGCCAGCAGCCGCGGUAAUACGUAGGAGGCGAGCGUUAUCCGGAUUUACUGGGUGUAAAGGGCGUGUAGGCGGGACUGCAAGUCAGAUGUGAAAACUCAGGGCUCAACCCUGAGCCUGCAUUUGAAACUGUAGUUCUUGAGUACUGGAGAGGCAGACGGAAUUCCUAGUGUAGCGGUGAAAUGCGUAGAUAUUAGGAGGAACACCAGUGGCGAAGGCGGUCUGCUGGACAGCAACUGACGCUGAGGCGCGAAAGCGUGGGGAGCAAACAGGAUUAGAUACCCGGGUAAC